rnacentral:rRNA from 1 species
GGAAUCUUCCACAAUGGACGCAAGUCUGAUGGAGCAACGCCGCGUGAGUGAAGAAGGUUUUCGGAUCGUAAAGCUCUGUUGUUGGUGAAGAAGGAUAGAGGCAGUAACUGGUCUUUAUUUGACGGUAAUCAACCAGAAAGUCACGGCUAACUACGUGCCAGCAGCCGCGGUAAUACGUAGGUGGCAAGCGUUGUCCGGAUUUAUUGGGCGUAAAGCGAGCGCAGGCGGAAUGAUAAGUCUGAUGUGAAAGCCCACGGCUCAACCGUGGAACUGCAUCGGAAACUGUCAUUCUUGAGUGCAGAAGAGGAGAGUGGAACUCCAUGUGUAGCGGUGGAAUGCGUAGAUAUAUGGAAGAACACCAGUGGCGAAGGCGGCUCUCUGGUCUGCAACUGACGCUGAGGCUCGAAAGCGUGGGUAGCGAACAGGAUUAGAUACCCUGGUAGUCCAUGCCGUAAACGAUGAGCGCUAGGUGUUGGGGACUUUCCGGUUCUCAGUGCCGCAGCAAACGCAUUAAGCGCUCCGCCUGGGGAGUACGACCGCAAGGUUGAAACUCCAAUGAAUUGAC